rnacentral:pre_miRNA from 1 species
GGGCGGGCAGCUCCUUGCUGGAGAAGCAGGGCACGUGCAAGAAAGGUGCAACAUUUUGCUUGCACGUGCUCCCCUUCUCCAACAUGGGCUCCUCACCU